GCAACCCUAAUGGCAGCCGUAAAAGCUCUGUGCCUGUCCGUGUUUGUCUUGGUCAUCUCGAUAGGGUCAUCGUCAGGAGAUUGCACAACGAAAAAAAUUACUGAUUGUCAAGGGAAGGUCACUAAAACUGAUUGCAGUUCCCUCGAGAGUUCCGCCAGCUGUGUGUUCAAUCCCUUCUGCAACAUCACAGCAGCUGAG